AGCUCUAAUAGCGUAUAUUAAAGUUGUUGCAGUUAAAAAGCUCGUAGUCGGAUGUCGGGCUCGGGCAGGCUGUCGGCUUCGGUCGGACGGCAGGUUCGGGGUUUUCUGCCUGAGGAUCCAUUUGCACUUUAUUGUGGAGGUGGGGACGCAGGCCGUUUACUUUGAAAAAAAUAGAGUGUUCAAAGCAGGCCUACGCUUGAAUACAUUAGCAUGGAAUAAUGGAAUAGGACUUUGGUGCUAUUUUGUUGGUUUAUGGGACCGACGUAAUGAUUAACAGGGAGAGUUGGGGCCGUUUAUAUUUCGUUCCUCAGAGGUGAAAUUCUUGGAUUUAUGAAAGAUAAACUUCUGCGAAAACAUUUGGCAAGGAUGAUUUCA
rnacentral:rRNA from 1 species